CAUGGCUCAGCUGGUAGAGCAUCACCUUGCCAAGGUGAGGGUCGCGGGUUCGAAUCCCGUUGUCCGCUCCA
rnacentral:tRNA from 1 species